GGGGAUGUAGCUCAGUGGUAGAGUGCUUGCCUAGCAUGCACAAGGUGCUGAAUUCCAUUCCCA
rnacentral:tRNA from 1 species